UGAAAUCAGAAAUUUUGCUUGUUAUUACUGUUAUUAGCAUCAUCAGAUUGAAGAUUAUGUUUGUCAUUUUGAAAUAAUGAAUAUCAACGUGAAUAUCUCCAUUUGGUUUUUAACCCAAAUUAUUUUGAAUAUUUUUGCCGUCUGCGUCUGGGUUUUUUUGGGUUUUGAAGAGAAAAUUUUGAAGAGAAAAUUUCUCCAUUGAUGAAAGAAAGAAUUACAGAGGAAAAACUCAGCUUCUCAUCUUCUAUACUGCUAUUUAUAUACAAAUUCUAAAAAUAACUGCUAAACAAAUAACUGAAUUUUGAUCUAAUCUUUUCACACUACAACUCAGCAUAUUAACAACUUUGGCGCCAAGAAUAAGUUAUGAAUUUGAAUUCUGUUGCUGAGCUGUAACAGAAAGCAAGUUGAUGUUGAUGAUCACGGUGACAAAUUUGUGAUCUCGUAAUUAACGGCCGUGACGCUCUGUUGAACAAGGAUGAAUCAAAACUUGCUGUUAGGCAUGCUGUUACUCUGUUAUGCAUGCUGUUACUUCUAACUGCCUUGCUGAAUCAGUUGCAUAUUCCAACGGCCCCCUCUCAAGCUGGUGGUGGUGUGAAAGCAACUAACCCCAGUUUGGAUAUCAAAAACCUGAAUGUGUGAGAGGGUAAGGACUUGGUAAAGAGAUCUGCCAAUUGAAGUUUAGAUGGAACAUGAGAAGUAUAUUCCUUACAAUAUGGCAGUCUAUAUCCAGAUGUUUGGUCCUCUCGUGAAACACUGGAUUAGCUGCUAUAUGUAAUGCAGCUUGAUUAUCACACAGUAAUGGGAUGGGAAUAUCCGGCCUAGUCAAACUCAAAUACAAUAAUCUACCAACGAUUCUUCUGUAUUGAUCAGGCUGCUCUAAUAUGCUCCCCAUGGAAGGUUGUAACUUCAAUCCUUGAAUUAAAGGAGUACAAACUGGUUUUGCAUCGGAGAGUCCAGCUUCUUCAAUCAUAUCUGUAAUGAACUUAUGUUGAGAGAUAUAUAAACCAGCAGAGGAUCUUGCUAACUCAAUUCCCAGGAAGUAUCUCGCAUUCCCAAGGUCUUUUAUAGUAAAAGCCUGAUCUAGUAAAUGUUUGACCUCAGUAAUUAAUGCUUGAUCUGGUCCUGUAACAAGGACAUCAUCUACAUAUACAAGCAAAGCCACAAAAUUGUCACCUGAGCCCUUGGUAAAAAGACAUGUAUCAUGAAUUGAUUGAUGAAAUCCAAAAUCAGUCAAAGUUUGUGUCAGCAUUUUAUUCCACUGUUUGCCUGCUUGCUUCAGGCCAUACAGGGAUUUUUAUAACUUGCAAUACUGUCCUGGAGAAGCCUUAGUAUAUCCCUUAGGAGGUAUCAUGUAUAUAUCUUCCUCAAGAUCACCAUGUAAAUAAGCGUUAUUUACAUCUAACUGAUGUAAAUGCCAAUUCAAAGAGAUUGAAACAGCUAACAAUAAUCUGACAGUAACAAGCUUGGCUACAGGAGAAUAUGUAUCUGUAUAAUCUAAGCCAAGCAUCUGAGUGAAGCCUUUAGCCACUAACCUGGCUUUGUAUUUGUCUACUGUUCCAUCAGGUAAGUAUUUAAUCCUGAAGAUCCAUUUGCAAUCUAUUGGCUUCUUGUUAAUUGGCAAUGAAGUUAAAGUCCAUGUAUUGUUUUUCUCCAAUGCUUCCAAUUCAAUUUGCAUGCCAUUGAUCCAUUUCAUAUCUUUAAUAGCUUCCUUGUAAGUACAAGGUUCAUGAACUUUGGAUAUCUGUGCCUGAUAAGCUGAAUAAGGUUUGGACAAAACAAUAAGGGCUUUGGGAAAGAAGUCAGUGUUAGCAGUAUAAGCCGUAGUAUAAGCUGUAUUGCAAUUGGACUUCGACUUGGACAGAACAAAAUCAUCAUGCCAUUUGGGUGGUUUGGAUUGUCUGGUGCUUCUUCUUAGAGUAGAGGAAGUAUUAGCGGGAGGCACAGUAACUAAUUGAGAAUCAAAAGUUUCAGGAACAGUCAAAACAUUGUCAUUAACAGGUUGUACAAGAGAAUGAAUAGGAGUGUUAUUAUAAUCAGAUAUGGACAUAUGUGAGUCAUGGACACUAGAUGUGUCAGAUAAAGAGCAAGGAUCAUGAGAUGUAAUGUCAGUGGUGGAAUGAUCAUGUGUGACGGGGAAAACAAGGUAGGUUGUCAUUAACAAGACAAACAGGUAAACUAAAAUCUGAGACAGUGGUAGGCUUUGUUAAAUGAUAUGGGAACAUAGUUUCAUUGAACUUGACAUCUCUGGAAAUAAAGAUCUUUUUAGUUUUCAAAUCAUAUAUCUUGUAACCUUUUUGUUGGGGUCCGUAUCCUAAUAAGACACUUGGGAUUGCUCUCUCACUAAACUUGUUCUUGUGAGGAUAUACAUUUGUGGCAAAACACAAACAGCCAAUAACUCUGAAGUAAUCUAUGUUCGGUAUAUGACCAUACAAGAUUUCAAAGGGGCUUUUCCAGUUAAGGUUUUCAGUAAGUAGUCUAUUUAUUAUAUGUGUAGCAGUAAGUAAGGUUUCUGACCAGAAUCUAUCAGGGAGUUUGGCUUGAAAAAAAAUGGCUCUCGCCACUUGCAAAAGAUGUUUGUGUUUUCUCUCAACUAUGCCAUUCUGUUGAGGUGAAUAGACACAGGUCCUUUGGUGCUUAAUGCCAUUUUCUUGAAAAAGCUUAAGGCAAUCAACAUUGAGAAAUUCAGAACCAUUAUCAGUUCUGAUAGCUUUGACCCUUUUUGAAAAUUGAGUAGCUAUAUAUGUCAAGUAAUGUUUAAUGAUUUUUGAUACUUGUGAUUUAAAAGUGAUCAUGUAAAUCCAUGUAAAUCUGGACUUAUCAUCAACAAUGGUUAACAUGAAAUGAGCACCAGUAAUGGAUUUUGUCUUAUAAGGUCCCCAUAAAUCCAAGUGUAUUAAAUCAAAAGGAUAUUCAACACUUGAGUCACUUAAAAGGGAAAGAUAGCCUCUCUUGUUUCGCCAAAGGACAAACAGUACAACUAUUUAUUUCAUCCGCAACAGUAGGUAGAGUAGAUAUAUGCUUCAUUUUGGCUAAAGAAUUGUGACCUAAUCUACUGUGCCAUAACAAAGACAGAUGGUUCUUGUGAGAAAUACAAGUAUGUAAAGCUUUACUAGCUGAAGGAACAUGGAAGGAAUGUUUAUUUAGAUGAUAAAGUCUAUCAAUCACUAGUCCAAUAGCAAUACAUUCUUUACUCUACAAAUCCUGCACAACACAAUGAUCAGGAAAAUUGUUAACAUUCACAUUACAUGUUUCUGUUAAGGCAGUAACUGAAAUAAGGUUGCAAGUGAAGUCAGGUAUAUAUAGUGUAUUAUGCAAGGUUAUUCUAGGGUUCAAAACUACAUUUCCAAUAUGUGUAACAUGUUUAACAGAUCCAUCAGGUAGAUUAACAGGUUGUGGUAUAGGUAGUUUAUAGGCUGAGGUAAAAUUGGAAAAAUGGCAGGUCAUGUGGUCAGAGGCACCAGAAUCCACAAUCCAAUUACCCUGUGGGUAACAAGUGACACUAUUUGAAGAAUGAAACAAAGCAAUACCUGCAAAUGUUGAACUGAAAUGUGCAGCAGAAGAUUCAACAGCAUUAUCCUGUGGCAUUUUACCUUUAAUAGCUCUCUGCACUUCAAAUUGAAUUAGUUUGGAGAUAUUGUCAUUAAAUGCAGCAUUGGGUUCAGAAACAGGAUUAAUUUGCUCAAUUUUGACAUUGUUAUCAAAGGUCAAAGGUGUUUCAGAUGUCUGCUGCACAGAAUAAGCUUUGGCGACUUGCUUAUUCUUCUUAAAAUCACUAAACCAUUCUGGAUAGCCAUGAAGUUUGAAGCACUUCUCUCUAAGGUGUCCAGACGUCUGACAAUAAUCACAAAAUCUGUCAGAUUUUGGUUUGUUAUUAUACCUGGAGUUAUCAGUACUUGUAAAUCUUCUAGAUCCAGAAGAUCUUUGAACAGCCAGAGCCAUUGUUGUUUCAGUAGACUCGGGAAAUGCUAUCUGAAUUUCAUUUUGUCUUUCAAUGUUUAAAACCAUAGCAUAUGCCUUAGCAGAAGAGGGUAAUGGCUCCAUGAUCAAGAUUUGAUUUUUGACAUGAUCAUAGUGAUGAUUUAAUCCCAUAAGGAAUUGAAUCAAUUUCUCUAUUUCUUCAAACACAGACAGAGCCUUUGCUGCUCCACAGCUGCAACUAGGUAAAGAGCAUAAAACUAAAACUGAUAUCUCAUCCCAACAUUUCUUCAGUUUUGUAUAGUAUGUAGCUAAAGUAGAAGUACUUUGACUAAUAUUCACCAAUUCCUUUUUGAUUUGAAAGAAUAAAGGUCCAUGACCUUCACCAAAUCUAUGAGCAAUAUCAUUCCACAGCUCUUGAGAACUGCUGGUAUACAAAAAUCCUUCAGCAAUUUCUCUGGAUAUUGCAUUCAGUAUCCAAGAUAUGACCAUAGAAUCAACAGUCAACCACUUUUCCACAGGAGGUUUAGCAAUCUUACCUGUUACAAAGCCAAUUUUCUCCUGUGCUCUAAGAGCCAGUAACAUAGAUCUGGUCCAUGAGAGGUAGUUAGGGCCAGUGAGCAAAAAGUUCACCAAUUUCAGAUUAGGAUUAUCUGAAUUUGACAGGGACAAUGCAACAUCCGUUUCAGCUUGAGAAGCCAUUGAAGUUAGUAAUGAACAAAAAACAAUAAGAAGAUCAAGAAUGACAACAGUGAAGAAGAAAGGAAGUAGAUCAGAUUGAAAACAACACAGAAAUGCUCAGAUCCGCUCUGAUACCAUGAAGAGAAAAUUUCUCCAUUGAUGAAAGAAAGAAUUACAGAGGAAAAACUCAGUUUCUCAUCUUCUAUACUGCUAUUUAUAUACAAAUUCUAAAAAUAACUGCUAAACAAAUAACUGAAUUUUGAUCUAAUCUUUUCACACUACAACUCAGCAUAUUAACAACUUUGGCGCCAAGAAUAAGUUAUGAAUUUGAAUUCUGUUGCUGAGCUGUAACAGAAAGCAAGUUGAUGUUGAUGAUCACGGUGACAAAUUUGUGAUCUCGUAAUUAACGGCCGUGACGCUCUGUUGAACAAGGAUGAAUCAAAACUUGCUGUUACUCUGUUAUGCAUGCUGUUACUUCUAACUGCCUUGCUGAAUCAGUUGCAUAUUCCAACAGGUUUCUUUUACUCAACGCUACAAGUGCGACUUAUUUUAUUUUGUGCAUAUUUUUAAUCUUAUGAGACAUUAAAUUUGUUGCUCAUUCUGUCUCAUAAAAUAGGUUUGUUUCCAUUUUUUUAUCGUCCCAAAUUAUAGGCAACUUUCAUUUUUUUAUGAUAAUCUAGUGACUUAAUGUAUUAGCUUCCCAGUGCACCUAUAUUUAAUACGCAUUGAAAAGAAAAAAGGGUAAAAUUUAUUAGUUUCAAGGGUAAAUUAGGGAUGUAGCAAUAUAAGUGAAGGAUAUAUUAGAAAAGAUGAACAUAAAAUUUAUUGCUUUUAAGUUUUUAACUAUUUAACUAUAUUUUUCUUAAUCCAUGGUCUAUCUUUUUGGAUGGAAGGAUUUUUUUUUUUUUAAUUGGUGGUUUUAUCUUAU
rnacentral:lncRNA from 1 species